rnacentral:rRNA from 1 species
GGGCCCGCACAAGCGGUGGAGUAUGUGGUUUAAUUCGAUGCAACGCGAAGAACCUUAUCCUGGUCUUGACAUGCUUGGGAACCCUCCUGAAAGGGAGGGGUGCCUUUCGGGGAGCCCUUGCACAGGUGCUGCAUGGCUGUCGUCAGCUCGUGUCGUGAGAUGUCGGGUUAAGUCCCUUAACGAGCGAAACCCUUGUCCUUAGUUGCCAGCGGUUCGGCCGGGGACUCUAAGGAGACUGCCGGUGUUAAACCGGAGGAAGGUGGGGAUGACGUCAAGUCCUCAUGGCCUUUAUGACCAGGGCUGCACACGUCCUACAAUGGCACGUACAAAGAGAAGCAAGACCGUAAGGUGGAGCAAAUCCCAAAAAGCGUGCCCCAGUUCGGAUUGCAGGCUGCAACUCGCCUGCAUGAAGCCGGAAUCGCUAGUAA